GCCGUCGCUGCUUGGCAGGAAUAGCUGGGUUCGGAGCCCGCCAAGCCCACAUUUCCAGGGGCACCCGAUCCAUGGAGACAGCGAUAUGUGUCCAGGCGAACAGCUCUGGCUUUACAGCAGAAACAGGAAAGCCGUGUUUCCUCCCUUAGGCUCCCAAGACAUGGCUUUACGAAGGAGCUUUCUUCUCUCCAGCAAGAAAAAAGGAGCAACUGGGGAAAGAUUUCUGCAGAAGAGGUGGUGUCAGCUCCAGUUCCUGGACACAGCUACUCAGUGGCUGUGUCAUGGGAAAGAUAAACUCUCAUUGGAGCAUGGCCUGAAGCCCUGGAUGUCCUGCUCCCCAGGCAAGCACUCCCAUUCCUUCACCAUCUUCCACAAUCUCCUGAAGAACCUGAUUGUCUGCAAGAGUUCAAAAGUGAAUGAAUGUAAGGGCCAGUCUAUUAAAUCUAUUAAAUAAAAUGACACCACUCAGAAUCUGCCUGAACCAAAGAAGACUGUUGAGAGAAUAUUAAGAGACAGUACCACUUUAUGCUUUCCUGUUCCUACAUUUUUCUCCAAGCACCUGCUUUUGGCCAUUGUAGGAGACAAAAUGCAAAAUUAGAUUGACUUCCAGCAAGUAAGCAGGAUAUUUUUAUUAUAUAUGUAUAAAAUAAGAAAUAUUAAAUAUAAAAUAUAAGAUUCAUGUAUAUUUACAAAGCUACACAGGCCUUUCUAUACUGUCUUCUUGGAUUUUUACAAAAUCUGGUUUUUUGUGACUGAAUCUUGGGUGGUAAUUCUAGCUGUAUGAGAAAGCUUAAAAUUAACCAAUAAUGAAGUAUGAAAAUGAGAAUAACAUUAAGGUUGCAAAGUUAAGCCCUUAGAAGGAAGAAAAUGCCAAAACAAAGGGACUUGUAAUCUUAGGCUUGUAAUUUUUUGAAAAUUCCCAGUCUGAUGUCCUGCUGUGUGUACUAGGAGAUAGAUUUGCUUUACACAGUAAUACUCUAUUUUUAGCAUAGGCUCACUCCCUGGUUUAUAUCACAGUGGGGACAGUGACUAGAGUUGAAUAAGAGCACAGAGUGAAGGAGAGAGCAGCCUGCAGAGUCCUGCCUCCUCCUCCCACCUGCAGAAGCUCAUGGGCAGAGAGAGGAGCUGCUGGUGAAUGCUGGUGAUGGUCAUCAAGUGCUGUGAGAUGGUCAUCCAGCACCCCUGAGAGUACGCCAGUGUGCUGCUGGAUGUCUUCAGUGAAAUCACAUUUUUCAACAGAGGGUUUAGAUGGCUGCUCAUUCUGGAUGCUGACUGAGGUCACCUGGUGCUUCACAGUAGAGAUGUUUGUCCCACCUCACCUCUGGUCAGCUAAAGCUUGCAUGUCUGACAGCUCCACUAAUUGCUAGUGAAAUUUCUGUGUCAGGACCUCGUUCUAAAUUUCUUUUUCACUGGAAGCAGGAUUAGCUCAUAGGAUACGUAAGUACCUAUUUUGAAGAAUGUAUCUUUCAGCUUAACGCAGUGUCCAUGCCGACAUUUAUAGUUAGAUACUUUACUGUAAAAAUAACAUGAGAGCAAGUGUUUUGGUGACAACAGCACUGAUAACCAGAAAAUUGUCUAAUGCUUUACAUGCAAGUACAUGUAAAGGGUGAAAAUUGGAUGUUUUGGUAUAAUAAUUUUUCCACGGUGAUCAUAAAUGCAUAUACAGAUAGCUUUCAUGCUGACAACCUGAUAAACAUGAGCAGACAGCAACUGAUACAAAGAUGGUCUGUCCUCUUAAUAAAUAAGCACUAUUUGUGGUGUGUAAUACUGCA
rnacentral:lncRNA from 1 species